GAUGAACGCUGGCGGCGUGCCUAAUACAUGCAAGUCGAGCGAACAGAUGAGGAGCUUGCUCCUCUGACGUUAGCGGCGGACGGGUGAGUAACACGUGGAUAACCUACCUAUAAGACUGGGAUAACUUCGGGAAACCGGAGCUAAUACCGGAUAAUAUAUUGAACCGCAUGGUUCAAUAGUGAAAGACGGUUUUGCUGUCACUUAUAGAUGGAUCCGCGCCGCAUUAGCUAGUUGGUAAGGUAACGGCUUACCAAGGCAACGAUGCGUAGCCGACCUGAGAGGGUGAUAGGCCACACGGGAGCUGAGACGCGGUCCAGACUCCUACGGGAGGCAGCAGUAGGGAAUCUGCCGCAAUGGUCGAAAGCCUGACGGAGCAGCGCCGCGUGAGUGAUAAAGGUCUUCGGAUCGUAAAACUCUGUUAUGAGGGAAGAACAAAUGUGUAAGGAACUAUGCACGUCUUGACGGUACCUAAUCAGAAAGCCACGGCUAACUACGUG
rnacentral:rRNA from 1 species